CCUUUAGAGUUUGAUCCUGGCUCAGAUUGAACGCUGGCGGCAGGCCUAACACAUGCAAGUCGAGCGGAAACGAGUUAACUGACCCUUCGGGGGACGUUAACGGCGUCGAGCGGCGGACGGGUGAGUAAUGCCUGGGAAAUUGCCCUGAUGUGGGGGAUAACCAUUGGAAACGAUGGCUAAUACCGCAUAAUAGCUUCGGCUCAAAGAGGGGGACCUUCGGGCCUCUCGCGUCAGGAUAUGCCCAGGUGGGAUUAGCUAGUUGGUGAGGUAAUGGCUCACCAAGGCGACGAUCCCUAGCUGGUCUGAGAGGAUGAUCAGCCACACUGGAACUGAGACACGGUCCAGACUCCUACGGGAGGCAGCAGUGGGGAAUAUUGCACAAUGGGCGCAAGCCUGAUGCAGCCAUGCCGCGUGUGUGAAGAAGGCCUUCGGGUUGUAAAGCACUUUCAGCAGUGAGGAAGG
rnacentral:rRNA from 2 species